rnacentral:rRNA from 1 species
GGUCCUACGGGAGGCAGCAGUGGGGAAUUUUGCGCAAUGGGGGGAACCCUGACGCAGCAACGCCGCGUGCGGGACGAAGGCCCUCGGGUUGUAAACCGCUUUCAGCAGGGAAGAUCCAAGACGGUACCUGCAGAAGAAGCUCCGGCUAACUACGUGCCAGCAGCCGCGGUAAUACGUAGGGGGCGAGCGUUAUCCGGAUUCAUUGGGCGUAAAGCGCGCGUAGGCGGCCGCCUAAGCGGGACCUCUAACUCCGGGGCUCAACCCCGGGCCGGGUCCCGCACCCGCCGCCCCGCGCGC